CAGUCGCCGCGGUAAUACGGAGGGUGCAAGCGUUAAUCGGAAUUACUGGGCGUAAAGCGCACGCAGGCGGUCUGACAAGUCAGAUGUGAAAUCCCCGGGCUUAACCUGGGAACUGCAUUUGAAACUGUCAGGCUGGAGUAUUGUAGAGGGUGGUAGAAUUCCAGGUGUAGCGGUGAAAUGCGUAGAGAUCUGGAGGAAUACCGGUGGCGAAGGCGGCCCCCUGGACAAAGACUGACGCUCAGGUGCGAAAGCGUGGGGAGCAAACAGGAUUAGAUACCCGCGUAGUCCCUGUCUCUUAUAC
rnacentral:rRNA from 1 species